rnacentral:rRNA from 1 species
AUUGAACGCUGGCGGCAUGCUUUACACAUGCAAGUCGAACGGGGUGGUGGGGCAACCCGCCAUUCAGUGGCGAACGGGUGAGUAAUACAUCGGAACGUGUCCCGUAGUGGGGGAUAACCCGGCGAAAGCCGGACUAAUACCGCAUAUGCUCUACGGAGGAAAGCGGGGGACCUGAAAGGGCCUCGCGCUAUGGGAGCGGCCGAUGUCCGAUUAGCUUGUUGGUGGGGUAAUGGCCUACCAAGGCGACGAUCGGUAGCUGGUCUGAGAGGAUGAUCAGCCACACUGGGACUGAGACACGGCCCAGACUCCUAGGGAGGCAGCAGUGGGGAAUAUUGGACAAUGGGCGCAAGCCUGAUCCAGCGAUGCCGCGUGUGUGAAGAAGGCCUGC